rnacentral:rRNA from 1 species
GACGAACGCUGGCGGCGUGCUUAACACAUGCAAGUCGAACGGAAAGGCCCUGCUUUUGUGGGGUGCUCGAGUGGCGAACGGGUGAGUAACACGUGAGUAACCUGCCCUUGACUUUGGGAUAACUUCAGGAAACUGGGGCUAAUACCGGAUAGGAGCUCCUGCUGCAUGGGGGGGGUUGGAAAGUUUCGGCGGUUGGGGAUGGACUCGCGGCUUAUGAGCUUGUUGGUGGGGUAGUGGCUUACCAAGGCUUUGACGGGUAGCCGGCCUGAGAGGGUGACCGGCCACCAUGGUACUGAGGUACGGCCCAGACUGCUACGGGAGGCAGAAGUGGGGAAUAUUGCACAAUGGGCGGAAGCCUGAUGCAGCAACGCCGCGUGCGGGAUGACCGCCUUCGGGUUGUAAACCGCUUUCGCCUGUGACGAAGCGUGAGUGACGGUAAUGGGUAAAGAAGCACCGGCUAACUACGUG